AUGCCCUAGUAACGGCGAAGUGAAGCGGCAACAGCUCAAAUUUGAAAUCUGGCCCCCGGGUCCGAGUUGUAAUUUGUAGAGGAUGCUUUUGGUGCGGUACCUUCCGAGUUCCCUGGAACGGGACGCCAUAGAGGGUGAGAGCCCCGUCUGGUUGGACGCCAAUCCUUUGUAAAGCUCCUUCAACGAGUCGAGUAGUUUGGGAAUGCUGCUCUAAAUGGGAGGUAUAUGUCUUCUAAAGCUAAAUAUUGGCCAGAGACCGAUAGCGCACAAGUAGAGUGAUCGAAAGAUGAAAAGCACUUUGAAAAGAGAGUUAAAAAGUACGUGAAAUUGUUGAAAGGGAAGCGCUCAUGACCAGACUUGGGCUCGGUUGAUCAUCCAGGGUUCUCCCUGGUGCACUCUCCCGGCCCAGGCCAGCAUCAGUUCGCCGCGGGGGACAAAGGCGUCGGGAAUGUGGCUCCCUCGGGAGUGUUAUAGCCCGUCGUGCAAUACCCUGUGGUGGACUGAGGUUCGCGCAUUCGCAAGGAUGCUGGCGUAAUGGUCAUCAGCGACCCGUCUUGAAACACGGACCAAGGAGUCGUCUUCGUAUGCGAGUGUUCGGGUGUCAAACCCCUACGCGUAAUGAAAGUGAACGCAGGUGAGAGCUUCGGCGCAUCAUCGACCGAUCCUGAUGUUCUCGGAUGGAUUUGAGUAAGAGCAUACGGGGCCGGACCCGAAAGAAGGUGAACUAUGCCUGUAUAGGGUGAAGCCAGAGGAAACUCUGGUGGAGGCUCGCAGCGGUUCUGACGUGCAAAUCGAUCGUCAAAUAUGGGCAUGGGGGGCGAAAGACUAAUCGAACCUUCUAGUAGCUGGUUUCCGCCGAA
rnacentral:rRNA from 1 species